rnacentral:rRNA from 1 species
UACGUAGGGGGCAAGCGUUGUCCGGAUUUAUUGGGCGUAAAGAGCGUGUAGGCGGCCAGAUAGGUCAGCUGUGAAAACUCGAGGCUCAACCUCGAGACGUCGGUUGAAACCAUCUGGCUAGAGUCCGGAAGAGGAGAGUGGAAUUCCCGGUGUAGCGGUGAAAUGCGCAGAUAUCGGGAAGAACACCCGUGGCGAAGGCGGCUCUCUGGGACGGUACUGGACGCUGAGACGCGAAAGCGUGGGGAGCGAACGAGG